GACGAACGCUGGCGGCGUGCUUAACACAUGCCAGUCGAACGGUGAAGCGCCUUCCUUUUUGGUGGGUGUGGAUGAGUGGCGAACGGGUGAGUAACACGUGAGUAACCUGCCCCCUUCUUCUGGAUAACCGCAUGAAAGUGUGGCUAAUACGGGAUAUUCUGGGUCUGUCGCAUGAUGGGUCUGGGAAAGAUAUUGUUUCGGUGGGGGAUGGGCUCGCGGCCUAUCAGCUUGUUGGUGGGGUGAUGGCCUACCAAGGCGGUGACGGGUAGCCGGCCUGAGAGGGUGGACGGUCACACUGGGACUGAGACACGGCCCGGACUCCUACGGGAGGCAGCAGUGGGGAAUAUUGCACAAUGGGCGCAAGCCUGAUGCAGCGACGCCGCGUGAGGGAUGGAGGCCUUCGGGUUGUGAACCUCUUUCGCCAGUGAAGCAGGCCUGCCUCGUUUGUGGGUGGGUUGACGGUAGCUGGAUAAGAAGCGCCGGCUAACUACGUG
rnacentral:rRNA from 1 species